rnacentral:lncRNA from 1 species
AGUUCUUGUUCCAGCAUUUCACUGCCAAGUGCCAGAAGAAUGAGACUAACACCACAUCUACAGACACUGACCCUAGAUCACACCUCCAGGAGACAGGAGACAACAUCUUAACACUUUUCACCAUGCAUCCUCCUCUUGAAUCAGAGUGGACUAUUUGUAACUUUCGCCAGUGCAAUGUUGAAGAGGAACUCCCACCCUCGAAUGAACGGAGGAGACCUCCAUAAAUCCAGGGACUUGCACGGCAAAAGGCAUCUCAAAGACCAACUGUUGAUACCCUCUUGUUAGAGACAUACAGAGGUUAGGUGCCUGUCUCGAGGUCACAUGGCUAAGAUGCCAAAAUGGAAACUGAAAACCACAUUUUCUGACAACUUGACAUAUGCUCUUUCCAAGCCCCUUCUCUGACCACACUCCUGUAUGCUCUGUGAAAUGCAGAGAGGGAGAAGAACUUAACAUAAUCACCACAGAAAAGGAGGAUAGAGUUUCACGUCCAAAAAUGUCAAACCCUAAUUUCUUAGUAGGAUGAAAAUAUGAGAA